UAUUUUCGUAACCAAAGGUUCCGUAGGUGAACCAGCGGAGGGAUCAUU
rnacentral:rRNA from 1 species